rnacentral:misc_RNA from 1 species
AGAAGUAAAAGUCGUAACAAGGUUUCCGUAGGUGAACCUGCGGAAGGAUCAUUACAGAGUUCAUGCCCUCACGGGUAGAUCUCCCACCCUUGAAUAUUUAUACCUUAGUUGCUUUGGCUGGCCGUGGAAACACCAUGGGCUCCGGCUUAUGCGUGCCUGCCAGAGGAAACAAACUCUGUUUUUAGUGAUGUCUGAGUACUAUAUAAUAGUUAAAACUUUCAACAACGGAUCUCUUGGUUCUG